rnacentral:rRNA from 1 species
GCUGACAUAAGUAACGAUAAAGCGGGUGAAAAGCCCGCUCGCCGGAAGACCAAGGGUUCCUGUCCAACGUUAAUCGGGGCAGGGUGAGUCGACCCCUAAGGCGAGGCCGAAAGGCGUAGUCGAUGGGAAACGGGUUAAUAUUCCCGUACUUGGUGUUACUGCGAAGGGGGGACGGAGAAGGCUAUGUUGGCCGGGCGACGGUUGUCCCGGUUUAAGCGUGUAGGCUGGUUUUCCAGGCAAAUCCGGUAACUUUAACACUGAGGCGUGAUGACGAGGCACUACGGUGCUGAAGCAACAAAUGCCCUGCUUCCAGGAAAAGCCUCUAAGCAUCAGGUAACAUCAAAUCGUACCCCAAACCGACACAGGUGGUCAGGUAGAGAAUACCAAGGCGCUUGAGAGAACUCGGGUGAAGGAACUAGGCAAAAUGGUGCCGUAACUUCGGGAGAAGGCACGCUGACACGUAGGUGAAGUGAUUUACUCAUGGAGCUGAAGUCAGUCGAAGAUACCAGCUGGCUGCAACUGUUUAUUAAAAACACAGCACUGUGCAAACACGAAAGUGGACGUAUACGGUGUGACGCCUGCCCGGUGCCGGAAGGUUAAUUGAUGGGGUCAGCGCAAGCGAAGCUCCUGAUCGAAGCCCCGGUAAACGGCGGCCGUAACUAUAACGGUCCUAAGGUAGCGAAAUUCCUUGUCGGGUAAGUUCCGACCUGCACGAAUGGCGUAAUGAUGGCCAGGCUGUCUCCACCCGAGACUCAGUGAAAUUGAACUCGCUGUGAAGAUGCAGUGUACCCGCGGCAAGACGGAAAGACCCCGUGAACCUUUACUAUAGCUUGACACUGAACAUUGAGCCUUGAUGUGUAGGAUAGGUGGGAGGCUUUGAAGUGUGGACGCCAGUCUGCAUGGAGCCGACCUUGAAAUACCACCCUUUAAUGUUUGAUGUUCUAACGUGGACCCGUUACCCGGGUUGCGGACAGUGUCUGGUGGGUAGUUUGACUGGGGCGGUCUCCUCCUAAAGAGUAACGGAGGAGCACGAAGGUUGGCUAAUCCUGGUCGGACAUCAGGAGGUUAGUGCAAUGGCAUAAGCCAGCUUGACUGCGAGCGUGACGGCGCGAGCAGGUGCGAAAGCAGGUCAUAGUGAUCCGGUGGUUCUGAAUGGAAGGGCCAUCGCUCAACGGAUAAAAGGUACUCCGGGGAUAACAGGCUGAUACCGCCCAAGAGUUCAUAUCGACGGCGGUGUUUGGCACCUCGAUGUCGGCUCAUCACAUCCUGGGGCUGAAGUAGGUCCCAAGGGUAUGGCUGUUCGCCAUUUAAAGUGGUACGCGAGCUGGGUUUAGAACGUCGUGAGACAGUUCGGUCCCUAUCUGCCGUGGGCGCUGGAGAACUGAGGGGGGCUGCUCCUAGUACGAGAGGACCGGAGUGGACGCAUCACUGGUGUUCGGGUUGUCAUGCCAAUGGCACUGCCCGGUAGCUAAAUGCGGAAGAGAUAAGUGCUGAAAGCAUCUAAGCACGAAACUUGCCCCGAGAUGAGUUCUCCCUGAGACUUAGAGUCUCCUGAAGGAACGUUGAAGACGACGACGUUGAUAGGCCGGGUGUGUAAGCGCAGCGAUGCGUUGAGCUAACCGGUACUAAUGAACCGUGAGGCUUAACCUUACA